UCUAUUCUUAGAAACAGUGGUUACGCCAACUCACCAUUAUGUAAUAAUUUGCGAUACCUAUGUGUCUCUCGCAGCACGCUGCACUAUGGCCUUGAUCACAUCUUUUCUCGAUUCAUUAAAUUCUUAGGUAGUUUAUCCGUAAAAUCGACCAAUGAUCGAUAUUUCUUUAAAAUUCGAACUCAGCUAUGUAUUUAAGCCACGAAAGAAAUUUUUUAACAAAUUUUCGACACUGUUCAAAAUAUUUUUCUUCUGGAACCAUACGUAUAUCCUUAUCGACUCCUGGCGAAAACCCGUAUCGGAUUAACAAGUAUCAGGUUUGCAACACGCCAAUUAACAUCGUUAUAUGGUAACAUGAAUAGACAGUAGCAUUUCGUUUGACUUGGUGGGGUUCGUUUGUAACAUUAGCAUUCUGCGCUUUUUCUGCAAUCUCUCGCCAAAUUGGUAAUGCAACCUAAAAAGUAAAAUUUCCUUAGAAUUUGGCAAAUAAGGGAAAGCGAUAGAGAUAUGUAUAUUUCCUACUCUAACUCGUUACUUGCCAAUUCACCGAUAUUAUUGACAAAUUAUUGUGCAAGACCGAGUUCGAUGACACCCGCCACAAUGAAUCGAGCGUAACACGUAUCGCGUUUUUGGUCACAGGACGUUGCGUUCGCGCGAACAUCUCGUAACACUUAUCUCCGCGUCGAUCUCGUGUCUAAAAGUGCAACGCACUUAAUCUACAUAAGCUAGACGAUGCAAGUGGACACGGAUUUCCUUAAACGAAAGUGUGGACGGCGUGUUUGGUAUCAAUUCAUCGUGUCGAAGCCGCAUUCGGACAGGCGCCCCUUCACCGAUUUGUUCCGCUUUCCGUUAAAGGCUACACUGCGAGCUGUAAACAUGUCCUCGAAACGAUUAAACCCGUAACCAAUGGGGGCCGCGAAUUCAAAGAUACAUACGUAUCCACACCCGUGCACCUGACAUGUCGUUUUUACUUGUCCUGUGCAACAACCGCAUACCAAUAACGCCUCGAUUCUGACAUACCGGUGAUUACGUCAGCUUUAUAAUCGUAUCACGCAACGCAAUCGGUUUUGUCGCGCAAUAUUGAUAAACCAGUUAAGAAUAAAUACUCGUUUGAUGUGCACCGAGUGGACCGUGAUGGAAGAAAUAGGUAAGAGACGAGGUAAAAGUUUAUGCCAGAGCAAAAAGUGAAGCGAAAUCUCCAGCAACUAGAAACGUUUAGUAACCAUGAACCCAAGAGAGUCCCUUCAAAAAGACAAUAUCGUCACGUAUGUAACGUCUUAAAAUUAUAUAUCAUUGACUCUGUUUUUAUGACGUUUCUGCAAUGAAACACGGCGCCUCCAUGACGCCACUACGUAUAUUAGUUUGCUUGCUAUUUGUCGAUAAUAUCAUCGCUUGGAGCGUAACACCGAGGGAUUUGAAAUGAAUGAAACAACCGUUUCAUUGAAGAAGAAGUUUGGCUGAAUCUGUACACCACUAACGAUAAUAUGUAAUUGAUGAUGAGGCGCGAAAUAACUCGAGAGCAUCAACGAGUGACUUAGUCAAACCAGCAAUUAAUCAAUAAAGAUAUUGAAACUCUGAACGUUGGAAACUGUUCCCGUGACAUAAAUGAUAUUUAUCAACGACCAGAUAACAUUUUAUUAAGUUACCAAAACUGAAUUAUGGAUACAUAGAUAAGUUUUAUUACCGACUUUGCGGUAUAAAAAAUUCCUCCUCGCAUUUUAUAUUUUUUAUGAUAUUUUAUAAUUACGAAUAAAACGAACGUUAUAUCUUUAUAGAAGAAAUUUUUCGAAAUACACGAGAUUCAUAGCAUCAA